rnacentral:rRNA from 1 species
UACGAAGGGGGCUAGCGUUGUUCGGAAUUACUGGGCGUAAAGCGCGCGCAGGCGGCUAUCCAAGUCAGUGGUGAAAGCCCGGAGCUUAACUCCGGAACUGCCAUUGAAACUGUUUAGCUUGAGGACGAGAGAGGUGAGUGGAAUUCCCAGUGUAGAGGUGAAAUUCGUAGAUAUUGGGAAGAACACCGGUGGCGAAGGCGGCUCACUGGCUCGUUUCUGACGCUCAGGCGCGACAGCGUGGGAUCAAACAGG